rnacentral:rRNA from 1 species
AUUGAACGCUGGCGGCAGGCCUAACACAUGCAAGUCGAACGAGUGGCGGACGGGUGAGUAAUGUCUGGGGAACUGCCCGAUGGAGGGGGAUAACUACUGGAAACGGUAGCUAAUACCGCAUACCAUCGGAUGUGCCCAUAUGGGAUUAGCUAGUAGGUGGGGUAAAGGCUCACCUAGGCGACGAUCCCUAGCUGGUCUGAGAGGAUGAUCAGCCACACUGGAACUGAUACACGGGCCAGACUCCUACGUGAGGCAGCAGUGGGGAAUAUUGCACAAUGGGCGCAAGCCUGAUGCAGCCAUGCCGCGUGUAUGAAGAAGGCCUUAGGGUUGUAAAGUACUUUCAGCGGGGAGGCGUUACCCGCAGAAGAAGCACCGGCUAACUCCGUGCCAGCAGCCGCGGUAAUUC